CUCAGAGAAGUCACCCAAAAGACCGCACUCCGCUGAAGUAGGAAGUGUGCCAUAAACCCAUGGCCAGACCCACCUGAGGCCUGGCAGAGUCUGAAGUUGAUUCCAGUUGUCUGAGCACACACUGGAUCUACUGCAUUGCAUUAUUUCCUUUUUCUUGAGGGAUCCUAUCUUGGAUACUACAUUACAGUGGCUGCAUCAUUCUGAUUCCCACCACAAUGAAUAAGAGAUCCUGUUGCUCUGCAACCUCAUCAACAUUUGGAAUUAUCAGCUUUUUGAAUUUUAGCCAUUCUAAUAAGUAUGUUGUGGUAUCUUAUUGCUUUUUAAAUUUGUAUUCCCUAAUGAGAAAUGAUGUUAAGCAUCUCUUCAUAUGCUCACUUUCAUGUGUAUAUUUUCUUUGGUAAGGUAUCUGUUUAUAUCUUUUGCCCAUUUUUUCACUGGAUUGUUUUUCUUCUUUUUGUUGAGUUUUAAGAAUUCUUUGUACAUUUUGCAUACAAGUCCUCUUUCAGAUAUCUGCUUUGCAAUUAUUUUCUCCCAGCCUGUAACUUGUCUUUUCAUUCUUAAUUGCUGAAUAUUUUGAAUUAAAAAAAAAAACCGUCUUGGUAAGCUUUCACAAUGCACUUGCUUAAACACCACCAAAGGGUACCCAUUCAAGGAUGCUGCUUUGUGCAUUACAAAAAGGGACUCCCUCUGGAAAGAUCUAGAACCAGGUUAAGAUAUGUAUUUAGAUUUCAGCUCUCCCCCCCAAACUUGGCUGGUGCCUUUGUGCAAGGCACAAACCGCAUAGUCAGAUUGCAACAAGUCACACUGAUCAUGAGUGUAUCCAUAAUACACUUAUAGAACCUUCCAUGAUAGGGCACUUACCUAUUCUCCAGCCACAUAUCUAUGUCCACAAAAGUCUUAUUUCAGCAACUAAAGGAGCUUCCAUCCUCAAGACUUUCAUGUUUCCUCUGCUAGUGUGGCAGACUAGCGUUUAAGAUGGCCCCCAGUGAUCCUCACCUCCUGGUAUUCAUGGUCUUGUGCAUUUCCUCCCCUUGAAAGUGGGCUAGACUUAGUGACUUGCUUCUAAUGAAUAGAGCAGUUUCAAUAUUAGGUUGUAAGUGACCGUAACUUCUCUCGUGCUUGCCUGGUCUGUCUUCCUCUCUUCACUCUGAUGAAGCAAACUAACAUGUCUUCAGCUUCUUAUGGAAAGGAUCACAUGGCAAGGAGUGGAGGUAGGUCUUGGACCAAUAGCUUAUGAGGAGCUGAGGCCUCAAUCCAACAGCCUGUGAGGAACUUAAUCCUGCCAGCAACUCCUUGCGUCAUACUGGAAGCAGAUCAACCUCCAAUUGAGCCUUUAGAUUAGUUCAGCCUUGGUUGACACUUUGAUUGAAACUUUUGAGAGACCAUGAGUCAGAGGAUUCAGCUAAGCUACAGCUAGAUACAUAACCCACAGACACAGAUAAUAAAUGGUACUGUUUAAGCCACGUUAGCCAUUAUCCCACCAUGCAGUAAUUUGUUAUGCAGCAGUAGAUAACUAAUAGAGUCAAGAAUAUUUCCCUCCUCACUUUCCCUUGCUCUAAUUCCUAUGUGUCUUCAAGUGUCAGACUUAAAGGUCACUUCCUCAGGAAUGAGUUCCCCUAGGAAUCCACCCCACACCAGCAAGUCUGGUUAUACACUCUUGCAGCAUUCUCUUCUCUUUGGCCACAUGCACCAUUGGAAUUAGUUCAUUAUCUGAGUAUUUGUUUCCUGUCUGUCUUCCCUCAAGAUUUGUCAGUUCCAAGUCAGAGCUUGCUACAUUUUUUCCACACUGAAUUCCCAGCAACAAACAUAGUACCCAGUAUAGAGUGGGGAUACCAUACAUGCAGAAUUUUUAAAAUGAAUAAAUAAUUAAGUUAAGGAAUUAAUAAACAAAGUACACCAAAAGCCCACAGGUCAACAAGGAGGAAGAGAAAAGCUCAGUACCCUAGUAAAGAUAAUUACAAAAUUCUCACAAUUUCCAGGCUUUAGUUUUAAAAAUACUGAACAAAAACAAAAAGCCUAAAUAAAACCAUGUCAAUAUGUUCUAGAUAAAAAUUUGUUAUGACAGAGUGCAUUAUAACCCAAAUCUACAUGAAUAAAAAGUCCAACAAGGAUGAGUUCAUAGUCUGGGAUUUAGAUUUAAAUUUUGCAUUUUUAACAGGAGUAACAGGAACUGACCUAGAUAAUAAAGGACGAGAUAGUUAAGACAAUACAUGUUUAAUGGAAGCUGCCCCCCAUUUCCCACAGUCUGGAGCUAGUGCUCAUCUGCUUUUAAUAUUACAUCUGGGAAAGACAUCCAGUUUCUUCUGUGAAAUGAAUGAAUUUUUAGCUAAAUGCUAAAAGGAGGAUUGAAGUUUGCAAAUAAACCUGUUGCCACAGGAAGGUAAAUUUAGUCCAGUUGUUGUUAGCUAAAUUCCUACAGGACUUUAAAACAGUAGUAUGAGAUGAUCGGCAGCUCUGUAUUCCACAGAGCGGACUGGUUUCAUUAGUGAUUCCUCACCUUUCCUGCCCACCAUAUAAUAUCCAAUUCACUCCUCAGCGGGACACUACCAGCCCAGCUGACCUUUCCAGUCUGCUCUUCCCCUGCUCCCUUCGCAGGCACCGUGCUCUUGCACUUACUCCGUCACAGGGCACACCUUUUCAUCUCUGUGCCUUUGCACAUGUUCUUUCUCUGACUGGAAGUCUCCGGUUAGUGCCACCCAGUCGACGCAAACCAGUUCAAAUCAGAAUUUUCCUAGUCCCCCAAACUGGUUGCUUUUCUGCUCUGUCUCCUCAGGGCACUUGGUGUUUAACUCUUUUAUGGCCUCUAACAUAUUCAGUAUUGCACUGUAAGUUGGUAUGUAUUUUACUCAUCUUCUCUACUACCCAGACCUUGAGGAUAUGGCCUCUGUCUUGAUCUUUUUUCCCUAUAUAAUCCAG